rnacentral:rRNA from 1 species
GACGAACGCUGGCGGCGUGCUUAACACAUGCAAGUCGAACGAUGAAGCCGGAGCUUGCUCUGGUGAAUUAGUGGCGAACGGGUGAGUAACACGUGAGUAACCUGCCCUUGACUCUGGGAUAACUGCGGGAAACUGUAGCUAAUACCGGAUACGACCCUCGGAGGCAUCUCCUGGGGGUGGAAAGAAUUUCGGUCAAGGAUGGACUCGCGGCCUAUCAGCUAGUUGGUGAGGUAAAGGCUCACCAAGGCGACGACGGGUAGCCGGCCUGAGAGGGUGACCGGCCACGCUGGGACUGAGACACGGCACAGACUCCUCCGGGAGGCAGCAGGGGGGAAAAGUGCACAAUGGUCGCAAGCCUGAUGCAGCAACGCCGCGUGAGGAAUGACGGCCUUCGGGUUGUAAACCUCUUUUAGCAGGGAAGAAGCGAAAGUGACGGUACCUGCAGAAAAAGCACCGGCUAACUACGUGCCAGCCGCCGCAGUAA